AUUGAACGCUGGCGGCAGGCCUAAUACAUGCAAGUCGAGCGAGCGGCGGACGGGUGAGUACUGUCUGGGAAACUGCCUGAUGGAUGGGCAUAACUACUGGAAACGGUAGCUAAUACGGCAUACCAUCAGAUGUGCCCAGAGGGGAUUAGCUAGUGGGUGGGGUAACGGCUCACCUAGGCGACGAUCCCUAGCUGGUCUGAGAGGAUGACCAGCCACACUGGAACUGAGACACGGUCCAGACUCCUACGGGAGGCAGCAGUGGGGAAUAUUGCGCAAUGGGCGCAAGCCUGAUGCAGCCAUGCCGCGUGUGUGAAGAAGGCCUUCGGGUUGUAAAGCACUGUCAGCGGAGAGGCGUUACCCGCAGAAGAAGCACCGGCUAACUCCGUGCCAGCCGCCGCGGUAAUAC
rnacentral:rRNA from 1 species